AAAACACUUGCCAGCGAACAUCUUGGCUAUGUUUCCAUAUAUUGAUUGAUUCCCAGAACGCGUUUCAUUCUUGUACCAUCACGAAUCUGGACACAAUCUCCGGCCAAAACCGGUAUAAUCUUCAAUCAUUACCAUAAAUCCCUUACGGAAACUUUGCAAGGUUUCAUAACAAUAUUAGAUGCACUUAUUCUAUUCGACACCCUCACACAAAUACAACCUCUCCCUAUCUCUCCCACUCUCUCGUCACCUGCAACCCGUCGCCGGAGCAUUCGGAACUCGCCGGGGCCAUCCGAAGUUACGGCGAAGAUCGCUUCACUCGUUCUCGUCGGAGAUGAAGUUUUCCUCAAAAGCAUUCUAAACUCUACCGAGACUGUAGCAAGAAGAAGGGUCUAGAACUUGGACCCAAAUGAUCUAGUUGGUGGUACAGAGAUUGAACCAGAAUGGUGUGAGGUAAACGUUCAAGUACCAAUGAAAAAGAUGAAAACUUGGUAAGACCAUAUGGUUUAUUUUGUAUAAUUCAAGAUUGUAUUGGUGCAUCCAUCGCAUGGCCCUAUCCAUUCAUCUCGGUAGUCCAUGAGGAUUGAGGACGCAUGAUGACUCAAGAUUUUAUGCUUCUUAUUUCUUUAAUUGCUUUAAUUUCUUUGUUAAAUGUUAAGACUUUAUGUCAGAUAAUGUUAUAACUUAUUUAUGGUUAGUGUUUUUGUUAUGAACAUGCUUAUUUGAAAUAUAAUGAAGUUUAUUUCUUUCA